rnacentral:lncRNA from 1 species
GAGCUACUAUGCCUGGCGGAAUUUUUUUUUUUUUAGCACCACGAAUGGCUAAUUUUGUUGUUGUUGUUUUUAGAGCCAGGGUCUCACUAUCCAUGUUGCCCAGGCUGGUCUUGAGCUCCUGGGCUCAAGCGAUCCUCCCACCUCGGCCUCCCAAAGUGCUGGAAUUACAGGCGUAAGCCAGUGGACCCAGCAUGAUUGAUUAUUAAGUCAGUCUCCAGCCCCUAUCAAAACGAUGGGGAGGGGUGCUGCAAGUUCCAGACAACUAGUCAUAGCUUGGUCUUUCUGGUGGCCAGCCACCACCCAAGAGCCCAUCAAGAGUUGCCUCAUUAGAACAAAAGAUUUUCCUAUUACGUAGGAAAUUCCAAGGGAUUAGGAGAUCUGUGUCAGGAACCUGGGUCAAAAUCCAAAUAAUUUAACAAAAGAUGAACCUAGCACCCCAUCACUCAGAAAAUUACAUGGGUUUUAGGAGCUCUAUGCUAAUAACAAGAGGCAGGGACCAAAUAUAUAUAUUUUUAUGAUGUCAUAAAGAGAUGGACAAAUGUUAAACUUUUU